GAUGAACGCUGGCGGCGUGCCUAAUACAUGCAAGUCGAGCGAACAGACGAGGAGCUUGCUCCUCUGACGUUAGCGGCGGACGGGUGAGUAACACGUGGAUAACCUACCUAUAAGACUGGGAUAACUUCGGGAAACCGGAGCUAAUACCGGAUAAUAUAUUGAACCGCAUGGUUCAAUAGUGAAAGACGGUUUUGCUGUCACUUAUAGAUGGAUCCGCGCCGCAUUAGCUAGUUGGUAAGGUAACGGCUUACCAAGGCGACGAUGCGUAGCCGACCUGAGAGGGUGUUCGGCCACACUGGAACUGAGACACGGUCCAGACUCCUACGGGAGGCAGCAGUAGGGAAUCUGCCGCAAUGGGCGAAAGCCUGACGGAGCAACGCCGCGUGAGUGAUGAAGGUCUUCGGAUCGUAAAACUCUGUUAUUAGGGAAGAACAAAUGUGUAAGUAACUAUGCACGUCUUGACGGUACCUAAUCAGAAAGCCACGGCUAACUACGUG
rnacentral:rRNA from 1 species